CAGAUGCUCAACCGACUGAGCCACCCAGGAGCCCUUAUUUUCUUGUUUUUAUGACAUUGGGCACAUUUCUGCCAAAGGAAGCCUGGAGAGGCCUGAUGGGAUCAGCGAGGAGUGCGAGUGGGGGCAGGGACAGCAGCUCGUGGGGCAAGACCACCGCCCAGGGUGCCCGGCAGCCGGCUCGGCACCCACGUGGGCGCUUCCCAAGGAAUUUCCUCUACUGCCGAAAUGGAAAUCUCUGUUUUUGAACUCAUGAAACUUAAUUUUUGCUUGCUUGUUCAAAAGGUGCCUUUCCCAAAUGGAAAUCAUUUGUUGAAAGCCACACCUGUAAAUACCGGUCCUGAAUGGCAUCUGUUCUGGGCACAGGAUCACAAAGUCAGAGUUUCUUCUGUCUGGAAGGAGUGGUUCAGGGGUUGCCGAUGUGUUUUCCGUGUGCGCCUGCAGGGCCGAUGGGCUCCAGGCCCCGUUGGGGGCAGUGCGCCCGGCACCAGAGGGAGGACCUCAGCGUGGGUGGGAGCCGCGGCUCAAAGCUUUGCCGGGAGGUACGUGGCUCUGCUCUCCGGCUUCUUAAAAGCUGGUCCUGGAACCGCUCCGUUCCUCUUGUCCCCUCCCGAUCGGGGGACGGCCUUUGUGAACAUCCUGCCUCGGAGAGUGUGACGUCCUUCUUCAUCGGAGCAAAGGCAGACGUGGGGAGCAAGGCUGGCAUUAAGCGGCUCUCGGAGCCUGGGACGCACCUGCUUUGGGGACGCACCUGGGCUGCAGACCGGCCGGCCCGCCCACUCCCUCUGCGGGCCGGCCAGCCUGGGUGACAGGGAGCUUUGAACACAGAAGCAUUAGGCCACAUCCUGACAUUGGUGACGUCUCGGCUGCAUUAACUGUGAGUGAAUUUUAACCAGAUUUUCCCACUGAUGCUCGACCUGCCUCGUUUGGAAGGGGAGACAGACGGGUAAGCUCUCGCUGCGUCACGUGCUGGGGACAGCAGCAAGCUCCCCGGCCGCUCACGGCCGUGGUGCCACGCUGGGUGGUGUUUCUCACGCCCGACGGGCCGGCCCCGACACGGUGUGGUGUGAGAGCCUGUCCUCGCCGAGACCCGCCACCACGCCUGCUGGAAACGAGCGGUCUGUGUCGAGUGCCUUUGGUAACAGGCAGACUUUUCCAGUCUAAGAAUGACAGAAGCGCUUUGUGCGCUGGGACUGGGGUUACGCUGCGGAAGCCGGGAGAGCGCCUGUGACCCGUCUGAAGAUCUCAAGAAGUAGAUUGAUAGACAGGAAGACGCUGUCGGCAUGAGAGCUGGUGAUUUCAUGAUGAUUUUCUGUCCCUCCUGGUUCAGGGAACUCAGGCGUGCUCACGCACAGCCCGGGGGGAGCCCUGUGUUGGCCUGCUCACGGCGGUCUCUGCUGCGGGAGGUCGUGCCUGGCAUCUGGCAGGAGCGGUCGCACGGGUGACGGAAGGGACGUAACUCGCGUCUGCCGACCUGUGAUGCGGGCACUGACUCUUCCCGCGGAUACCUGGACGGACCAGGGCGUUCCCAGCACAGUACUCCCUCGCCAGGCUUCGCAGAGGCUCCGAGGGGCGCAGCGCUCCAUCCCCUCUCGGCCAGUGCUGGCCCGGCCCCGCCCGCUCUUUUUCCAGAGGACCGCUCUGUCCGGCGUUACCCUUCGGUGAGCCACUGUCAUCUACAGCCCGGGGCGGGGGGUCCUGGGAGCCCGUGUCCACCUGUGUCCUCGAACCCUCGCUUUUCCCCUGCUAAUUAACGUUCUACAACAUAGACAGAUGAGUCUUAUAGGCCCCCCGCCGUCCGAGCCCUCCAGCACGUUCCCGUCGGUGCUGGGGUGCGGAGCAACCCCCACAACACCCGCCACACCUGCCUGGCCUGGCCACCCUCCUCCCACAGCCCUGCUCUGUCAGCCCCGCUCCCUCCUGCCCUGCGCUGCCCCUUCCUGCCUCCCCCUCCCACCACUCUGCCCCCCUCCCUUCUCUCCGUGCCUCCGCUUGACCCCUGCACUCUGAUAUUAGACCCAACAUCACUGCUCAGAGACAGUGUCCCCGGGCCUCCAGGCCCUCGGUCACAUUCCCUUACCUCACCGUGUGCUUUUCAGAGGCCAGAUCAUAAUUUGAAAUUACAGAUUGAUUCUAUCAUCAUUUGACGGGAUCGCUCUCUCUCCCCCCGCGUUCCACGGGCACGUCCAUCGGGGCAGGGACCACCUCCUGUUCCCGCCACGACUACGGAGCUUCCGCCGUGGGUCAGCCACGUCCACCUUGUCCAGUAGGGAAGCCGCCGGCCACAGCUGGUUUUUUAAAUCCAACAAAAAUAAAAUGAAAUGAACGACUCCGUUCGCAGUUGCCCUGGGCGCAUUUCAGGCGCCCACCACCCGUCAGCCCAUUGCCACAGUGUUGGGUCCAGCAGAAUCGCACGGUGCCGUGCCAGGUGGCGGCGGUCCGGACCCGACGAAUGUCCGGUGAGCCGGAAAGUCCUGCCUCCGUCUGGAGUCCUGCCUGGACUCUCUGACGGUCUCCUUGGUGGCAGGUCUGCUGGCCCUACCCAGAGCCGGCGCUCACCAAGUAUGCGGGGAAGGAAUGAACUAAGAGACGAUGUUCCUGCAAGGUCAGGGCUAGGACGUUACCCAGCACGAACAUAAACAGGGAAUUCAUCCUAAUACGUCACGUGCCUGCCAAGAACCGCAUGAGCAUUCAGCAAGCCUAUCUCAGUAACGAUUUGCUAUGGGCUCUAUUUUCUGAGCGCGCUGGAUAGAAAAAUAAACAGCGAGGAACCGGAGACAGUUUGGCGGCCCCUCCAAGCUUCCUGAUAGGCACAGAAGGUCUCUUGUGUCUUGUUUCUCUCUGAGUGAGGGUUCAUCUUAAGCUUAAAUAAAUACUAUCAACACUUCUCUGAGGAAAAAGAAAGCUGAGAACGGAAAAUGCGGGUAGAAAAAGUGAACGGUGGCCUUUGCUUGUGUGAUGAUGCUCUGUUUCUCCUUUUUCGUCUUUGCAAAUCUAUUGUGUCUUUCAGGAAAAACGAGGCUUGCAGUCACCGUCCACGUCCUCCGGUGUUUUCUUUGCUUCUCGGACGUGAAGGAGUAGAUCUGGGAGGUGGUCGCCUCUGACUUACCUGUAACCGGAGGGCACGAUGAGCCGGUCACGUGGGGGGCUCUGGGUGGACCAGCUGGCGACCUACAUGCUCCUGGUAGCCAGCAGCGUGGGGGGGAGGAUUCAGCGCUACCAGCAGGAGGCGCUCCUGUUCAACCUGCACGCGGUGCUCAGGAGCCACCAGAGUCCCCAUCCGGCUCACCUGGCCCAACCCAGGGCUCUCCUGCGAGAGCGGGGUCAGCGUGAACUCCUGGAGGGUGCCCUGGGCUCUGAGUAGAAACAUGCCACCCUUGUGGAAACAUACUUCCGAUAGUUGCACGAAAGUAAAAUCCUGGCCUGCGUA